GUGCUUCCUGGUAUUUACUCGGAUGUUGAGCUGUUCAACGGAUGCUUCCGUGUUUGAUCCUGCCACUUGCGCGCCCUUGCUUGGAAAUGCUGUCCAUGCUGAUAAGGCUUCAUUUUUGUCCAAGUAAAUAGCAGGCCAUUCCAACUGCUAGUCGGCCUCCUCCCCACCAUUGCUCUAACGCCAGGAGCUCUGUACUCCAACCAUAAAGAUAGCUAGCUCCUCGCUGCCGGCCGCCCGCAACAUCGCCGGGUAGGCACAAGAAGUGGAGAAGCAGAUCGACAAGCAGCGAGCAGAAGAAGAUAUUGCAAGAAGGUUCUUCCUAGAAAAUCCAUAGCAUUCCAUGGCUACUGCUUGGGACGUUGCCUCUGUUGGUUGGUCCAUGGUCGUGUUGGGCUGGUUGGUGUCGCCUGUCAUCACCUUGAUCCUGCCCAAGAUCCUUUCCCGCCUGGGUUUCGAUGCGGCACAGAAGCUCCAGGGGCUAGUGAUCAGCAUCAUGCCCGAGAUGGAGAACACGCUGCGGGCCGUAGAUCAGGAGAGGAUGAUGCUGAGAGGAAAGAAAUCAAACUCCGAUGUGGCCGCACUGGACAAGAUGGCCGCCAUGCUGAGGCACGCUCGGGAGGAUGCAGAGGACAUCUUCGAUGAUGCUCAUGAGAAGAUCUGCGUCGGAGACUUCCUCGACGGCGUCGUGCAAUCCUUCCUCGACGGGAUUGCACGCAUCAUUCGGAGCAGAUGGGCUCGGCUAAUGCAGUGGGCACGGAGGAGCUCUUUGUGUCGUUUCCUUGAGCGCUUCCGGUGAGGCCGUCACUAUCGGUGUUGCCGCCUCAAAUGAGCCCGGUCAUGUGACUAUAAAUGUUGCGGCGCCCUCCGGCGGCGAGUCUAUUCCGGUAACUACCAGUGCUGCAGCCUCACACGAACCAACAGCUCCAUCCUCCGAUUCCUUGGGGCGGUGUCUCUCUUGCUUUUCCAGCUCCUUCAACUUCGUCAAGUACUAUUGUACAUCCAGCUUCAACUGGUUACGCUUUUACCGAGAUUGGUCCUAUGAGGUGGUUGGUGUCACAACUUAUCAGGAGAAUGCCACUGCAUUGGAUGUUGUCCUUACUGCUAUCUCAAGAUGGAACUUGAAUAAAAGAAUAGAGAAGGUACAAAGUACCAUCAGCGAAGUGACGAAGUCACCGCUCUUGGGCACGGCAAGCAAGAGUGCACCAGACGAUAUUGCUAACAAGAAUAGGAGUAGAAUUAGAACUGCUAGCAAGCGGAAGGUAUUUGGUCGAGAGGGGCUGCGUGAUCAUAUCAUGGUAAGGCUUCGUGAGAUACCAGAGCAUGAUGCAGCAAGCUCAAGUGCUGAUCCAUGUUACUCAGUGAUUGGUAUAUAUGGUGUUGCUGGGUCUGGGAAGACCACGUUUGCAGGAUAUAUUCAAGAUUACAUAAAGGAGGAAUGCAAGGAUGAGAAACUUUUCGACACCAUCAUGUGCAUUCAUGUGACUGAAACUUUCAGUGUGGAUGAUAUAUUUCAUGAAAUUCUGAAGUAUAUUACCGGAGAUAGUCACUCCAAUAUUUCAGAUCGUGGGGCUCUAGAUAAGAAGUUGAAGGAAGCAUUGUGUGGCAAACGUUUCUUCUUGAUAUUGGAUGAUCUCUGGGUGAAAAACAAGAAUGACCAACACCUAGAGGAGCUAAUCUCUCCACUCAAUGUUGGGCUGAAAGGAAGCAAAAUCCUGGUGACGGCUCGAACAAAAGAAGCAGCUGGAGCUCUGGGUGCCGAUAAAUUUAUUGAAAUGCCUGAUUUGGAUGAGGAUCAGUACUUGGCGAUGUUUAUGCAUUAUGCGCUAAGUGAUACAAGAGUUGCCCUUCAAGAAUUUGAACAAGUUGGGAGAGAGAUUGCCAAAAAACUACACCGAUCACCUAUUGCAGCAGUAACAGUUGCAGGACGGCUUGGGGCAAACCCAAAUAUCAGUUUUUGGAAAAAUGUUGCAAAGCUUGACAUGUUGAAUUACACCAUGGAUGCUCUUUGGUGGAGCUAUCAGCAGCUUGAUCCGGACAUUAGGCGAUGCUUUGAAUUCUGCAGUAUUUUCCCCAGAAAAUUCAAACUGGAAAAAGACCAAUUAGUCCGCCUGUGGACAGCACAAGGAUUUGUAAAGACCAGUUGUGCAACGGAGGAGAUGGAAGAUGUUGCCGAGGGCUACAUUCAAGAGUUAGUGUCAUGCUCAUUUCUGCAAGAAAAAGGAACUGGUUCUGGCGUUGAUCAUUUUACAAUUCAUGAUCUGUUGCAUGAUUUAUUAGUCAAGGUUGCUGGAAAUGAUUGCUUCAGAAUCGAGAAUAGAUGGAGUAAACAAGGAGAAUGCCAAGAAGAUGUCCCUCGAGAUGUCCGUCAUCUUUUUGUUCAGAAGUAUGAUGGGGAAUUGAUUACCAGGAAGAUCCUUGGAUUGGAAAAUUUACGCACUCUCAUUAUUUGUGUGGUCGAAGAGAAUAGACCAGUUGAGGAAAAGGUCAUUGAGAGUAUGUGCGUGAGGCUGCUGAAGUUGCGGGUACUGGCCAUUGCUUUCAACAAAAAAUGCCGUUCAACCAGCAAUCCCAGUGAUAAGUUCUUGGUCCCAGAAUCCAUUACUCAGUUAAAGCACCUCCGCUAUCUAGCUUUCCGGAAAAGUGACAACUGCAAGGUUAUUUUGCCAAGUGCACUAGCUAAACUUCUCCAUAUCCAGCUGCUAGAUUUUGGUCUUGGCAAAAUUUCGGAUUUUACCUGUGCUGCUGACCUUAUCAACUUGCGGCACAUAUUCUGCUGGGAUGUGAGCUUUCCUAACAUAGGCACGCUGAGCUCACUUCAAAGAAUACCCUUCUUCAGGCUAAGGAAUGACCUUAUCAACUUAGGAAGCCAAUCUAGCUGCCAAGGAAAGGCUCACGGAACUGAUACUAUGUUUUUUGACUUCCCAUACACGGGGCAAUGGCAAUGCGGAAGUUGCAGCAGAGGUGCUUGAGGGCCUGUGCCCUCCCGUGGGGCUAGAAGCACUGCUCAUCUAUGACUACAACGGCUCAAGGUACCCAGAUUGGAUGGUGGGUAAGCUGACCGGUGGCCCAAAGAACCUGAAACUACUUGAAAUCUAUGGCUGCAGCCGACUGGGACCUGGCCCUCAACUUGAGGCUUUCCCUCAUCUUCGUAUGCUCAACCUUGAGGACUGCAGCUGGGACGCCUUACCAGGCAACUUGGAGCACCUCACUUCGCUCAAGGCACUGAAGAUCGAGCAUUGCAUGAAUAUCCGGUCGCUUCCGACACUGCCCCAGUCUCUGAAGCUGUUCAUACUUCGGUGCUGCGAUGUUGAGCUCAUGAAGAGUUGUGAAACAGAAGGAGAUCCAAACUGGCAUAAGAUAAAGCACAUCCCCGAUAAAAUGGUUUCAGGCCAACCUAUAAGACCCAUCUACCACAUCAGUAGAAUGUUCCGAGUGUCGGCCCCAGUCCCGACGCUGAGUACUUCCGGUGACGGCGACACGACCGACGAACGAAGAUGACGAACAAAGCUCGCUGACGAGCUCGACGAAGUCGUCACUAGUAGAAAAAGGGUCAAAUGUGACACACAUUAGUCCCGGUUUGCAUUUUAGCCGACACUAAUGUGUCCAUUAGUGCCGGUUCAAAUGGCUAGGCGGGAGGAGACCUUUAGUACCGGUUCAUGCCACGAACCGGUACUAAAGAUGCUGGGCCCGGCCGUCAUCUUUAGUACCGGUUCGUGGGACGAACCGGUAGUAAAGAGGUUGUGGCAGGCUGUUUUUAGUCCCACCUCGCUCCCCUAGCAAGAUUUUUACCACCUUAAAUAUGUUACUUCUCAAACUAUCACAAGCAUUUGGUCUUCAUUGAACUCUAUGUGUAUAAUUUGUGAACUCAAUAUGAGAAUUCACCGGUUUCUAAACCGUUGAGGACUCAUAUUGACAAUUCAGAUUGUACACAAAAAGAUCAUUGAUAAUCAAUGUAUUUUUUAUGUAUAUUUUUACAUGUUUUCUCAAACUAUCACAAGCAU